UUAAGAACAUUAAUUAUAAAGUUAUACCUCGAAAGGUUUAUCUUUUAAAUCAUUAAAAAGUAAUUAUAAAUAAUGUACCUUUUGCAUCAGGGGUUAAGAAAUAAGAUUAUUAAAUUAAUAACCUCCCGAAAGAAGCAGGAUCUUAAACUUUAUUGUUGGUUGUUGUUUCAUUAACAUUAAUAAUAAUAUUUAAGAAGCUAAAAGUUAUAACGACUCUUCUGAUCACCUGGUUUGCUAUUUAGAGUUUUUUAAGAAGGCAGAGAGUUAAUUGAAGUUUAAGCACUUUAUUAUUUUCUUUUAAUUAUAAAGGGACAAGCUUUUAUAACUUUAGGAAGAUCAAUUUAUAGCUUAUCUUCAUGACAAGAUAGACGUUAUUUAUCUAUUUAUAGAUCUACCUUUAGAAUAGCAUCUUUAGUGAAAUAAUUUUUAACUAUAAAAAUAAUCUUAACAUUAGUACUUCAAUAAAUCAAUUAUUAAAAGGAACUAGGCAAACAUUUAGCCGGACUGUUUAAUAAAAACAUUUCCUCUUGCAUAAAAGGGAGGUAAAGUCUGCUCGGUGUAAUUGAUUAACAGCUGCAGUAACUUGACUGUACAAAGGUAGCGUAAUCACUUGUCUUUUAAUUGAAGACUAGAAUGAACGGCUUACCAAGCUAAUUCUGUCUCUUUU
rnacentral:rRNA from 1 species